GGGUCGGUAGCUCAGUGGUAGAGCAUCUGGCUUUUAACCAGUUGGUCGACAGUUCGAUCCUGUCCCGACCCACCA
rnacentral:tRNA from 2 species